ACGAAGGGCAAUUUAGGGUUUUAAUACCAAACUCCACUGCUACCCAUCUUCCCAUCCUUUUCUUUUGCUGUAUGAACAUAGAUUAGGGUUUAGAGAGAGAGACACAGAUAAGAGGUGGCGAGAGAGAGCAGAGCUAUCGUCUUCAGCUGGCCACCCUCUUGGCGGUGAUGAUGGUUGGGUGGUUUUGACGCGGCAAACGGUAUAAGGCGGUGGUGGUUAACGGUUCCGCUUCCCAUUUUCCAUUCUCUUUCGUAGUAAGAGAGAGAGAUAGAGCAGCGAUAGGCAGAGACAGAGGACGGCGGUGAUGGAAAAACCGGCCACGUCUCCGACCGGCCACCCAUGGUGGUGGUUGACGGCGACCGUGACAGCUGUGGCUUCUAGGAUUCGCUCGACAUUCUGGUGGGUUCCUAAGCCUAAAAGACCAGUGUGAGUCACAGAACCCGGAAUAUGGCUAGCAAGAGGCGUGGAGGGUGGAGAUGGAGGAGUUGCCGAUGAGAGAUUGGGAAUUACGGAAAUGCCUCUGCUGUCGUCCGUCCUCCCGUUCUUUCUAAGGUUCGAUAUUUCUGUUUAGGUAUUAGAAUUUGUGCUUGAUUUGUGAAUUCUAAUGAGUGUGUGAUGCUGCUCUGACUACUGUGACCGGUGCUUUGUUUUGUCAAUUAGAUUUAUGUUUGCUUUUGUUGGCGUGGCGUCGCGUUUGGCUGACAUAAAUUUGAUUUUUAUAAGGAAAAUUGCUAAGAAAAUAAGAUCACAGUGGUUAAUGAUUGCUUGAGGUGCUGUUUUAUGGUGAUGAAUAGUCUUUUAACGGUUAGGUUAACACCGGUAAAUUGUUUCGUUGGGUUUGAGUUCCAAUCCCAACAAACACGUGUUAUUAUGUGGGCUUAAACCUUGACACGCGUUAUUAUCUACCGCCAUUUUUGUGAUCUCUUUUUCUAUCUGAGGUGUAUCCUUCAUCAGACAGUUGGAGUGGAACUAUGGUUUUUUUGUUUGUUUAUGGUGGAUUUUGGUUUCUCUGUUUACUGUGGUGGUGGUAUAUGACGGCGGUUGUGAUGGGGUUUGAUGAGGAAAAAGGUACAAAAUUAGGCUUUCGGCCGGCACAUCGGUGCCGGGGGUUGAGACAAAGGGUUUGUUUGCGGUGUGUUUUUUUGGUGGUGGGAAGUCGAUAGAGGUUCCACCACCGUUGUUAGAUCUGAACGGUCUGGUAGGUGGUAGCUGGUACCGCUCGGAAUCGGGUUUAUGCAACACCUAUCUACCAUCGUAAUAUCUGGCCAACUACAUCAUGUUCCUUCAUCUGUUCCGGUGAAGAAACCUAAAGAGGAAACCAAAUGUAGAUGGAGGCUCUCCGGUGAGAAGCUCUGGCCGGAAAUCCAUGGGUAUCCGGUGGUUAUAAUUCAUUAAAAAAAUGAAAACUUACAAGUAACUGGGAAACUUCAUAAGACUAUGGGGUGUGGGACGUGGGUUGGGGCGGUGAAAGGGGUUUAACGCUGGCUACACCACCCCAGCUCAAAGUUGGGUUUGGCGUUGUCCUCUUGGCGUGGAGAUUGUACCUGGCGUGGGGCGGAGGGGCUGGGUGACAUGGCAGGCUGUGGUUGGUGGUUCAAAGUAGCCGUUUGGGGUAGCCGCUAUGCCAAACCAAAUUUUUUUAAUCACAUUUUAUACCUAUAAAUACCCAACCCCAAACCAUAUUUUCCCAUCUUCUUCACCCACACUCCCACCCAAAAAGAAAAAAAAAAAAGAAAAUAAACCAAAGGUAAACAUGGUGUGCAUUGGACUGAAGAGGAAUUUUUUCUACGGAAUUAGUUUGGAACGUGGACUGUACAGAUGUUCACACUUGGACGGGAGGCUGCUCUUCAAGUACAGGUUAGAUUGAGGAACUAAUUUUACAUACACUUGCAAAAGCAAUUUUUUUGUUCUCAUGGAGGAACUAUUUUCUAUACAGUUUUUUUAUUAUAUUCAUAUAAAAAAGGACAAAAGAUACAGGGUAGGAAAAUUUUCGAUUGUUUUGUAAUAUUGUAACACAUAUUAUAUGAUAUAUAUUAGAAAGAGAGCAACUCUAAUUAUUUAGAAAGCACAUCUUCUUAUGAGAUGAUCUCAUGGCUGUUAUCAAAAUAUUAUGUCUAAAUUGUCUAUUAGUUAAGCCCUUAACUGAGCGUUGCUUUUUCUUUAUUGCUAAAAGCUAUAUAGUCAAGGGCGGACCCAAGCUUUGGCUUGGGUGGGCGGGCGCCCCACUUGAAAAAAAAAAUUUAAUGUAUUUUCGAGGUAAAAAUCCCGACUUCACCCCUUGAAAAUUUGGUUGAACCUUUCGUUCGCACCCCCAAAAAAUAAUCCCUGGGUCCUUCAGUGUAUAUAGUUCUUCUACAAUGUUGUUGUUUUGUGCUUUUGGGAUAACAGGUCUUUUGUUGAAUCUUGAUUGAUAACAUGAUAUAUUGCAAGGCCAAGUGAGUUGCAGGUUGCAUUUCGUUGAUUGUAACAAAUCAAGGUGUAACUUUUAUUUAAUCAGUAAAAGUGGUCCAAUUGUAAGGUAACAGGUCAGCAGGUGAAACUGCCAGGUUGUAUUUCAUAGGUAACUAUAAUUGGUGUAACAUUACGGAUUUAGAUAGUGGAUUGCAUUUUAUUGUUAACACUUAACACACCAGCUCAGCUAUAACCAUGUUAAUGGUUAAUCUGUUGGUACACAGUGCUGAUUACCAAAUGGAUGGGUUUGUUGACGGAGUUGAAGGUCCCUUUUUAUGUUCUCUGAGAGCUGCAAAUGUCAUUUGGAACAAAACAGUGUAUAGCUAUUGAAACAAGUAGAGCAGGUGGCUUUUAAAAGCCUAGGUUCUUAGUUUGCAUACUUUCAAAUGCCUAAAAAUUGUAUUCGAUUAUAACUCUUCAAACGUGUUGCGUCAAAUGAUAUUAGGGAAAAAGAGUAUCCCGCCGCGAAGCGCGGGCGAAUCUACCUAGUAUAGUGAAUUUUAAACUAUUCGUAUAUGUAUAUUACGAAAAGCUUAGAGAGAUGUGUGGUACAAAAGUCUUUUCAAGUUUUUUCAAAUACGAUGGACUUCUUUUAGGAUCCCUAAUAAUAUAUAUUAUUUAGUUAA